UACGUAGGGGGCAAGCGUUGUCCGGAAUUAUUGGGCGUAAAGAGCUCGUAGGCGGCUUGUCGCGUCGGCUGUGAAAACCUGGGGCUCAACCCCGGGCCUGCAGCCGAUACGGGCAAGCUAGAAUUCGGUAGGGGAGAGUGGAAUUCCUGGUGUAGCGGUGAAAUGCGCAGAUAUCAGGAGGAACACCGGUGGCGAAGGCGGGUCUCUGGACAGUUCCUGACGCUGAGGCACGAAGGCCAGGGGAGCAAACGGG
rnacentral:rRNA from 1 species